UACGAAGGGUCCAAGCGUUAUCCGGAUUUAUUGGGUUUAAAGGGUGCGUAGGCGGCUUAUUAAGUCAGGGGUGAAAGCCUGCAGCUUAACUGCAGAACUGCCAUUGAUACUGAUGAGCUUGAGUAUAGUUGAGGUGGGCGGAAUGUGUCAUGUAGCGGUGAAAUGCUUAGAUAUGACACAGAACACCGAUUGCGAGGGCAGCUCGCUAAACUAUAACUGACGCUGAGGCACGAAAGCGUGGGGAGCGAACAGG
rnacentral:rRNA from 1 species